GUGCGCGCGCACACACAUCUGUCACUCGUGUGUGCCACAGAGUAUCGAUUUUAGACCAGUGUUCAGUUGGAUACUGUUCAUGCCACGAGUGGAAUAUGUAUCUUAGUGUGUAAGCCUUGAUUGAGUUAUCGCGUCAGUGUCAGUGAGGUUGAGAGAGAAGCAAAGAUGACCAAGGACAGGCUAGCAGCGCUCAGAGCCGCGCAGAGUGACGAAGAUGACGUUGGUCCAGACGAUGUGGCAGUCAAUGUCGACGGUAAUGUUGGCUAUAUGGACGACUUCUUUAACGAGGUGGAGGAGAUACGAGAGAUGAUAGAAAAGAUACAGAACAAUGUGGAAGAAGUUAAGAAGAAACAUAGUGAGAUUCUCUCCGCACCGCAGACGGACGAGAAGGUGAAACAGGAGCUGGACGACAUGAUGACAGACAUAAAGAAGACUGCCAACAGAGUCAGGGCAAAACUCAAAGUAAUCGAACAAAACAUCGAGUCAGAAGAACACGUGAGUAAGGCAAGUGCGGAUUUAAGGAUAAAGAAGACGCAACACUCGACAUUGAGUCGCAAGUUCGUUGAGGUGAUGACUGAGUACAACCGAACACAGACAGACUACCGUGAACGAUGCAAGGGCAGGAUACAGAGACAGCUCGAAAUUACUGGGCGCAACACGACUAGUGACGAGUUGGAAGACAUGUUAGAGCAGGGCAACCCGGCUGUUUUCACUCAAGGGAUCAUCAUGGAAACCCAGCAAGCAAAACAGACCUUGGCAGACAUUGAGGCUCGACACGCAGACAUCGUCAAGUUGGAAACUUCCAUCAGAGAACUUCAUGAUAUGUUCAUGGACAUGGCAAUGCUGGUGGAGAGUCAGGGUGAACUGAUGAAUAGGAUUGAGAAUCACGUACAGGAAGCACAGGACUAUGUCGACACUGCCAAACAGGAUACUAAGAAAGCCAUCAGAUACCAAAGCAAAGCACGGCGGAAGAAAAUUAUGAUCAUCAUAUGUGUUAUAGUUCUGUUAUUAGUUGUUGCUCUUAUUGUAGGAAUAAUUUUUUCAUAGAGCAGGUAGUUUGGUAGAGGGUGUUGGAAGUAUGCAGGUAGCACUGGCCAUGUAGGCUCUUCUCCAUGGUUGUACCGUGCUCAUACGGAGAACUAGUUUUUUUUUUUUUUUUUUUGUUUGUUUUUUGUUUGGGUCUUCAAGAAACUCAUUGUUUGGACUCUGUUUUAAGUAAGGGAGCAUAUUAAUUUGUAAGUGUAGUAUUUUAAACAUUAAGGAGGUCAGUGGAGACUGUCCUUACAUAACAAGGUCUAGAAAGAAGAGUGGAAAAACUUAUUAAAUUAGAAGUAGUAUAACUUCAGUAAUGUUUAUGGGUUUUAUUAACUAGCAGUUUGGUUGUCCAAGACUACAAGUUUUAAUAAUUAUAAAAUGUAUUAAAAUUAAUACAUGUGUAUGCUAUGAAAUAGACAAAAUGAAAAGUAUACAUUUGAUGUGAAUAAUUUGGGUUCAGUAAUUGUACCAGUGACUUUUACUGUCUCCAAAAGAAAAAAAAAAAAAUUCCAGAUAAGUCUUCCCCAGUGCCAGAUGUAUGUAGUAGAUAGAAGCCUCUUAUGAGGUUAUAUAAUUUUCUUAGAGCUAUUUCUGAACAAUUUAUUUGAAUUUAAUCUAGGUGGAAAUCCUGGAAUAAGCUAAUGCUUGCAAACCUUGGAGAGAAGUAGCAUAUAGUUAUUGUAGGUAAAGAACCAUGGUUGUAAGAUGCCUGUAUGGAAGUUGCUACAUAGCAUAUAAUGUGCCAAAUAUAUUAUAAUUUUUAGAUUUUUGGUGAUUCAUCACUAUUGAGCAGCAAACUUGUAGAGGUUACUCUGACAAGGAUCAGUAUGAAAGACAAAUUUGGUAGGCGGUAGUGAUGAAGAGUUGGUGAGAGUGCUAUCUAGUCCACAUAAUGGGGGAAGGGGUUAUAAACUUGGCAGCCUUACCACUUAUUUCUGAAUUGGGUGUCUUGUAGCCUAACUACAAGUAAUCCUUCAUGUGUUGGUAGGUCGUCAUCAGACACACAAUACAAUAUCCCCCACAUGUCGCUGAUCUACAAAUUGAUUGCAUUAGUCAUUAAUUCCAUCAGCACGGGUAAAUCUAAGGUUUUCAAGCAGUUUUUAUCAAGAACUCCAAAGUCUUUCAUUUUUGUCUUGCUAGUUUUUGUAAUUGUAUAAUUUUUGUAUUAAAAGUAUUUUAGCUUCUGUGGAUGUUACUGUAUUGUUUAUACAUAUUUUAGAAGAAAAUGAUAGCAAUUAAAAGUGGAUGUAUUCUGUUAAAUAACUGAUUUAAUGGAAAGUCAAAGGUUACAUAUACAGUAGUGUAUUUGUUAAGUUUUUACAAAAUACUUUGCUACAAAAAUGUAUGCAGGUUUUGCUGGAAAGGAAGUGAUAAACUGCUUGAUCUUUUUUAAAUGGGUAAACCAGUAUUGAUGACAGUUCUUAAGCAAACUACAUUUAAUAAUUACUUCAUGUAUUUAUAUUUACUUUGUGAGAAUAUUUUACAAAUCCAUGCAGAAAGCAAAUAUGUAAAUGUAGUCUGACUGGAGUUGUCAUGUCAUAGUGUCUAAGUUUUUAUGGAAUCUACUAGUUUUUAUGCUAAUUACUUGUAUAUGUUAUUAAUCUGGAGUAAUGCACUUACCAAAGUAAUCAUUAUAGCAUUAUAUUGAGUUUCUCUUUCAGUAAAUAUACAUUGAAUAUAUUUUAUCCAUAUGAAAGUUUUAUAAUCUCCUUUCAGGCAAUAUAUCAUGGUGUUAUUGUAAAUAUUUUUUUUGGUUUUCAUUGCUCACCUUUGCAUACUGAUGUGUAAAAUUUGUUUAUCCUAGUUUAUCUGGUACCAUUUCCCCCUCCCCACCUGUAACUAAAGCCUAAUUGUAUUAAUUUAGGUUUGCAUAAUGUGAUAAUAUACUAUUAAGUAACUAGGUCACAUUCUUAGUAGUAGUAGUCAAAUUGAUUGUCCAGAUAUAUUGUGUAAUGUAUGAGGGAAUGGUAAUGUCAGAGGAAAGCAUCAGGUAUUUGCGCUAAAAUAUUCAUGGGGUCAGAGUAACAUGAAUUUGAUGUUUACAAAUGAUUAAAAGUUUGUCUUCCACAUGCAUGCUCUAUAUAGUGAUAGUGGUGGUGGUCUGUAUAUUACUGGUGCUCCAUUAGCAGCUAUUUUUUUAACUCAUGCUUUUAAUAGAAUUAAAAAAAAUUCUGACUGCUUGUAUUUUUUAAGUGUAGUGCUAUGGAGUCUAGUGUGCAAUAACCUAACACUGCAGGAGACUGUAGUCUGCUUGUACAAAUUAUAAGAGAAAAUAGGCAUCUGAAGUGUUAUACAGUAUAAUGCAUAAAAAAUUUAAUAUAUUAUUCAAGUAGAAGAUAAUUAGAGUUUGCUAAUCAGAUCUACAAUUGAGGUGCUGCAAGUAGUAGGGGUGACACAAUAUUGUAAAAUUAAGCUGAAUAUGACUUGUCACCCCUACUAUAUGAAGAAACACAUGUAAGGUAAGACUGGUGAAGGGCAGCAUAAUUGCAUCCUCUCUCAAAGAGUAACAACAAUGCAGCCCAGAAAUGGAGGGAAUUAGUGGCAAUCUUGGACAUAUGGUGAAGUUGAUUAACAUUACCACAUACAACAUUGUAAGUUUCCCUGAUAUUGAAUUUGCUUCUGGUAUAGCAAUUGUAGGAGAAGCCCAAGGAAUUAAGUAGCAUGAAAAAAUGCAGCUAGCAGAAGAGGAAUUUUGGUAUGGCAUACAACACAUGUAAAUGGAUGCUUUAAUAAGAAUGGAAUGGAGACAGUCAAAGUGAUCUUUGAAUCAUGGGAGUUGAGAACUUCAUUGUGCAAAAUGCAUGUCUUUAUAAACUUGUAAAUGCCAAUAAAGCGAAGGUUUACGAAGCAUGCAGCUAGCAGAGUGAUGAGGGUCAUCAGAUACACAGUGAUGUAUAAGUGCACUGUGUAUAAUAUAUUCUAAGGCAUUUUUACAGCAUGUACACUAUUUCAGAAAAGUGUGCCAGGACUGUGCAUGUGAAACACUGCUACUGGCACAGUCAGGGUUGAUAAACAUGGUAAAUGUCUUCAAUAAAUAAUAUGGUUGCAGUGGCACAUGAUGUUAGGGAGACAUUAAUUUGCUUGUGACCAUGCCUAACCUUUACCCUUGUGCAAAGAGCCUCCUUAGGAAAUACGUGCCAGAAGCGAAGUUAAUGAAUGCUAUCUACACAAUUUACGUUGAAUAGGUGAAGGAAUAAUACCAAAAUGUGGAACUAGUAAUGCCUAAUUUUUACCAUGGUGUAUUCAAUAGGGACUUCAUUUCUGAUUUUGAGCCUCCUAAGAGUGGUACCUGUAACAUUUGUGACAAAAUAAACUUGGCAAUGGUAUUUCGACAUCAUCACUGAACAGGAGCAUCUGCAAAAGCUUUCUGGCAGGCUCCGAUGAUAUUCAUGAUGUGGAGACUUCUGGGGAUGAUUUCGACUUCAGAAUAACCAAACAGGAUGUAGAAUCUCACCACAAAUACAUCAGAUGGACAUGCAAGAAAGAAGAUCAUGAUCAUGCUGUGUGUGGCAAUACUAUGCGUGGUGCUCGCUUCCACCAUAGGAAGCUACUUCGGCUUGUAACUCAACCUUCAGGCACCUUGUACAUGGUAGGUCUUCAAUGAAAGGCACGUAUGUGUCUCUCUCUCUCCUUCCUGAUGUUCCAGUUUUGUGAGCUGUAAAUAGUGUAGCAGCCUCGAUGGUUAGACCCAUCAUCUCUCAGCACCAGACACCGUAGCACUGCAUAAAACACGCUGUCGAUUCUUAUUUUUAAUGCAGUAAUUCUUGACAACCUAUAUAUUCAUUGUAGAAAAAGGUCACCUUGUAUAGAGUAUCUUUUAUCUUUGGCAUUUGCCAAAUCAAAGGUUUCUUUUGUGAUUGUGAUUGGAUUAAGUCAGCUUGUUUAAUUUUAAGGUUUAAGUCUGACAUGUAUGCACUAUGCAAAUACAGUAUAUAAAAACUAUUAUGAAGUGUGCAUGGUUCUGAUGAAUGGUACUGUAUACAAAGCUAUAAAUUUCUUUGUUCAUUUUGGUUAAUAAAAGUUUAGUAGUGUUUCAACUACUUGUUGAAAGUAUUUCCCUAUUUGUCAUUGAAAGUGCCCUAUUACUCAUAGAAACAACUCGUAUUUAUGCCUAAACAGAUGUGUAAAGAUAAGACAUUUGUUUAGAAGGACUCACACCUGGGUGAAAUGAGAGGUCUUUACGGAGGUCUGAUGCUGGGAGAAUCCCAGAUGUCUCCAGCAUAUAUGGUCAUCAAGGCAAAUAGAAUAUGUAUUUCAUUGAUACUGUAUGUCCCAAAUUGUUUUAAUCUCCUUAAUUUUUUGCAAGCCAUAGGCAGAAAUGCAAAUAUGUGAAAUAUUUCACAAAUAAUGGAGAUAUCCUUAAAAUUCCUAAAUGUGCUUGAAUUAUCAUUGGUUAAUGUUGGUAAAAUGUGUGUCAAAACUCUUUAGAAUCGGAUAUGUAAUGCCAAAACCAAUAAAGUAUUUGACAAAUAAUACAACUGUUAUAAAGUAUAUUGCUCACAGAUUGUGUGGGUAUGUACCUUAUUAUUAACAUGGCCAAACAUGUUUUACUUCAGAACUUGUAAAUUGGGAGUAAUUGCCUUUUUUCAAGUGUACAUGGGUGCUUGAGUGUAGCUUGUAAUAAAGGUUGGGACUUGCAGUAUACCCUCAUGAAGACAGGUGUUGCUGGUCACAUAUGUGAGUGGCAUUCAGAGUAAACAAUAUGGAAGGUAGAAGUUACUUUUAACAGCUUUAAACAUUCUAGGAUUUGUAGUAAAUGUUGAAACUGAGAAUGAUGCACCAUCAUCCUCAUUUUACUAUUGUUUUUACACUGUAGAGUGCAAUUGUAUAAAAUGUACUUAUUGUUUGUAUAUGAUAUAAUUUUUUCAGAGCGGGCUAUGCUAGUUACUUGUAAGUUGAAAAUGUUGAAAAUAGUGACUGCCCAUGUGCUUUUUAUGAAACCAAAGCUUGAUAUGUUUCAACAACUUAUUGUCUGUGGUAGUUUGUUGUAUUACUGGGAGACCAGAUUCUAAACUUUUUAAAAUGAACCCUUUGUAGACUAGUUCAUUUUCAAUUUAUCAGUGAUGACUGAACACACUCAACUUAAUUCAAAAUUGAAAUACUGUAAAUGUAUAUGAAAAUUCUUGAAAUCAGAUGCAUGAAUUGCCCAUCAGAAUAUAAUACUGUGUUUUAAAUAGUGAUAUCAAUAAAUUAAAGAUAAUAUUACACUAGAGUUGAUAAACUAAUUUACCAUAGAGUGAAGCGAGUUAUGGUUCAUAAAAAAUAAAUUAUUUACAUGGUGAAAGGUCUCCCAUAUUACAAAUUUGUUUUGGGGAAUCAGAUCAUAGUUUUAUCCUCAGUUACAUUAUUAGCAGCUGACCAGUUAAUAGAGCUGGCUUGUCUGGGGGUGUAUGUAAGGUUCGCGGUAAACGUAGAGGAAAAUGUUGUUUGUCAUAGGCAAUAACUGUUUUUUUUUUUUUAAUGCGUUUGAAUUAUAAGAUUCUUAUAUACAUUCAUGUGAUUAAUAUUUCAUUUUGAAACUAAAGUAAAUUUAACUAAUGAAAGUGAAGAGUACCUGUUGCCUGUGAAUUACAAAGCAAGUUUUCCUUCUAGAUGUGGCCUUGCAGACUAAGCAUUUUGUAUAACUUUAAAUAAGGUCAAGUGUAGGACUUGGAUACAACAGCUGGAUAUGCAAUAGUAUUAAAUUCAUAUUGAAUUUUUGCUGGAAAUUAAUAUCUUCAUUUGUGGAAAUAUUAUUGUAUGUUGCAUAUUUGUUCCCCAUAAAUAUGAGAGGAACACUUCUAAUAAUAUAAUUUUAAAUGUGGUAAGACUUUAAAAACUGCCCACAAAGUUGGUUGAAUUUUCUGAAACUGUUACUGAGGCACUUAAAUUGAGUACAGUUUAUAGAUCUUGGUUUCUCAAAACUUAACUAGUUGUAACCAAUGUCUUAAAAAUGCAAAAAAAGUUUUUUCCAUUUGUAGCUGAUCUGAAUAGUUAGAGCAAUAAUACAUUAAUGUUCAUCAAUCAAUGCAUAUCCUAGAUUUACUUUUACCUUGAUGUAAUGUCCAUUGAAAUACUUAUAUUUGAUAUUGUAUUUCAUCUCUUAGGAUUUUUAGAGCAGAACAGUUUGAUUACAGUGUAAUAACUUCUUGUAUACCUAUAUCCAUAAUUUCUUUGGUCAUUAUAUCACAUGAGAAUUGUAAGUAGGACCUUCACUGUUGAAAUGCACACCAGUAGUGGAUUAUAAUGUUAUAGGAUAAACUUUGAAUUCACUGCCAAACUUGCAACACAAAAGUAAUUAGGAACAAAUCUGAAUGAUUAGCACACUAGGCAAAGACAUUCCAGAGAAGUGCACUAUUAGGGUUAUUGGUGUUGAUGGCUCUGCUCAUGUGCAUUGUAGUUGUUUUGAUGAAAUGAGGAUUAUUCUAAAAUGGGCAAUUGAUAUAAAAACUUUUUCUUAGAAAUCUAUUAUCCCAAAUAGGGAACUUUCAAUGUGUUAGUAUUUGAUGGAAGUCUGUUGAGACACCACCAUGAAAGUGUGACGUUAUGCAUUGACGUUGUCUUGAGCUGCUUCGUGCAAAGCCCAGUAGGUCAACUUACUGAUCAUACUAUGCAUUUUUGUGUUUCUCAAAUGUUAUACUCCUCCUUUUAAUGUCAGUUCCCCAUUUUUUAGUGUAGAGAUUAGAUAAAACUAGAGUGUGUUGCUCUACGCAAUUUCUGAUUAAUGGAAGUGUGAUGUGAUCAGUGAUUCUGAGCAGAUGGUAAUACUUCAAUAAGUCUCAUUUUUAUCUACAGUAGUUUAAGGAAAAUGAGCCUUCUUUGAAAAUUUUAGCAGAGGCUCAAAAUUACUGCAUUCGUCACAUUUAUUUGGCCAAACAUUACUCUUGCACUCUUAGUCCAAGUCCCCUAGGAUAAAAAAAAAAAAUGUUCCUGCAGCAUUGUAUGACUAUUCUGGAGGCAUUGGAACCUAAGGGCUUGUAAAAUUCAAAUCUUGGAGAAAAUUUAGCAUUCCAAGUAUGUGGCAGGAUAAGAAUUUUUACUCUUUAAAUAAUCCAGGGAAUAACAAGUUAAUUACAAAUAAUAUGAAAGGCUCAAGAGAUUCAUCAUGUCACACAUAUAGGCUGGCUUUAUCAGAGUAAUGUUUAUAUUGUGUGUUUAAUAGUUGCCUGUUGAAAAAGCUUGAAGGUAAUGAUGAGCCUUUUUAUCCUUUCCAGUGGGCACAUUUUUAUAUACAGUUAGUAGGAUGUUUGUACCUUGUGUUAGAAAGCUAUAGAUAUACUUUAAAAGAUAUGUAAGACUCAUUGAUAAUGAAUUUUUUUUAACGAAAAGUAAUUGACUUCGUUAUUGCGUGAUCACUAUCAUAAUUCAGUAUGAGGAAUAGCAAGGAUCUGAAUUAUGAAUCUUUUUCUUCUUGGCCUGUGUGCUAGUCAAGUGUUAACAUUGUUAAAUAUUAAACAAAUAGGCAGUAUGUUGGGGAACUGGGUACUGUAGAAUGCAGGCAUAUUCUCUCUAUUAUCAUAUUGGAAUAAACUUAAUGACCAAAUAGAUAUUGUUUACACUUAGGAUCCUGAGCGGAGAUAUCACAAAGACUUCUUACCUAAACCUUCAAGAAACUAUUGCAUUUAAUUGAUCUUGUCUUUCCUUUUUAUUAUUUUCCAUAAAUUUUUGAGAUUCUACUCUUGCUAUUCUCUCAUUCAGUCCUGUUGUGAUGAUCAGUUAUUGUACGUGCGUGUGUGUGUGUGUCUGUCAUUUCCCAGUUUUGCGACCGUUCCAGACCACUGCUCGGGGUCCUUGUAUUUGUUAUUGUGAUAGAGAUGUGUGUGUGUAUCCAAUGACUACAGAGGAUCAUGUUGUUAAAAUAUGUAAUUUAUAUUGAUAA